AACGCACAUUGCGCCCCUUGGUAUCCCGAGGGGCAUGCCUGUUCGAGCGUCAUUAAGGACAUCAAGCUAUGCUUGGUCUUGGGCGCGGUCUGAGAGACCCACCCGCAACUCGUCAGUGGCAACCGUUCAGUCCCUAAGGCGUAGCAAAAAAAUUCGUCUACAUGGGUGCUGCGGGUGGCUGUCUUAAAUCUAGCGGCUCUGGAAGCAGGGCUCUCUAAGUUUGACCUCGGAUCAGGUAGGGAUACCCGCUGAACUUAA
rnacentral:misc_RNA from 1 species